rnacentral:rRNA from 1 species
AUACGUAGGUGACAAGCGUUAUCCGGAUUUACUGGGCGUAAAGGGCGUGUAGGCGGUCUUGCAAGUCAGAAGUGAAAUUCCUGAGCUCAACUCGGGCGCUGCUUCUGAAACUGCAGGACUUGAGUGCUGGAGGGGAUAGCGGAAUUCCUAGUGGAGCGGUAAAAUGCGCAGAUAUUAGGAAGAACACCGGUGGCGAAGGCGGCGAGCUGGACAGUAACUGACGCUGAGGCGCGAAAGCGUGGGGAGCAAACAGGAUUAGAUACCCUGGUAUUCCACGCCGUAAACGAUGAAUACUAGGUGUAGGGGGUAUCGACUCCCUCUGUGCCGCAGUUAACACAAUAAGUAUUCCGCCUGGGGAGUACGGCCGCAAGGUUGAAACUCAAAUGAAUUGACGGGG